GCGAGUGGAUCCCUUCGGGGUGAAGCUCGUGGAACGAGCGGCGGACGGGUGAGUAACACGUGGGCAACCUGCCUGUAAGAUCGGAAUAACCCCGGGAAACCGGGGCUAAUGCCGGGUAAUACUUUCUUUCGCAUGAAGGAAAGUUGAAAGAUGGCUUCUCGCUAUCACUUACAGAUGGGCCCGCGGCGCAUUAGCUAGUUGGUGAGGUAACGGCUCACCAAGGCGACGAUGCGUAGCCGACCUGAGAGGGUGAUCGGCCACACUGGGACUGAGACACGGCCCAGACUCCUACGGGAGGCAGCAGUAGGGAAUCUUCCGCAAUGGACGAAAGUCUGACGGAGCAACGCCGCGUGAACGAUGAAGGUCUUCGGAUCGUAAAGUUCUGUUGUUAGGGAAGAACAAGUACCGUGCGAAUAGAGCGGUACCUUGACGGUACCUAACGAGGAAGCCCCGGCUAACUACGUGCCAGCAGCCGCGGUAAUACGUAGGGGGCAAGCGUUGUCCGGAAUUAUUGGGCGUAAAGCGCGCGCAGGCGGUUCCUUAAGUCUGAUGUGAAAGCCCACGGCUCAACCGUGGAGGGUCAUUGGAAACUGGGGAACUUGAGGACAGAAGAGGAGAGUGGAAUUCCACGUGUAGCGGUGAAAUGCGUAGAUAUGUGGAGGAACACCAGUGGCGAAGGCGACUCUCUGGUCUGUUUCUGACGCUGAGGUGCGAAAGCGUGGGUAGCAAACAGGAUUAGAUACCCUGGUAGUCCACGCCGUAAACGAUGAGUGCUAGGUGUUAGGGGGCUUCCACCCCUUAGUGCUGA
rnacentral:rRNA from 1 species